GCAUAGCAACAGCAGCGUAGCUGAACAUCUUACGGAUGGCCCAGGGCUCCAAAGGCUCGUUUCCUAAGUGAGAGAGAGCCUGGCUGAAGCUGUAUUACCAUUCAUUCUCCAGCCUCCGAAGUCUCAAAGCAUCACUUCCACCAUACUCUAACUGUCAAGACAAACACAAAGGCCCAGAAACUGCCAGACUGUCUUCUGAAGUGGCUAUAAUAUUUACACUCCCAUCAGCAGUGUAGAAGGGGUCUCACUAUGUUGUCUGGAGUGCUGUGGUGGAGUGGAGUGGCUAUUCACAGAGCCUGUUCUGCUGGGACACAGAAUCACUUGCUCCAUCUCAUACAUUGAUGAUGAUUAAUUUGUAUGUGUACCUUCCAAAAAAGAUGGUUGUGUUUGAAUGGAGGCCUUCUGGACAGGAAAAUUGCAAAGUACAAUUAACAUUUGAGUCUGUCUGAGUCAUGAAGAAAUGGAGAUUACUGAAAAUAAUUCAUUUUGGUAUCUUCUUACAUCCUGAGAGACUAAUCUUUCCAAGUUCAUCUGAGGCUCCUCUUCUCCAUGACAACCUCAUCCAGGGAUUUCUUCCUGUCCUGGUGUUUUAUGACAUAAUCACAUCCUUCCUGAGAUAAUGAGCACACAAUUGCCUGGAUACCUGAAGGAAUGGAGACAGCGGCAGAAAACACUGCAGAGAGGUGGAAACAUCCGUUAAUAUUUUAAAAUCCCAUUACUGCUACCAACAAUAAUAAUGGAUGCAUAGAAAUAGAUCUGGAUUAGCUGAGCUUGAAACAGUCCAUCUCACACACACACAAAAGAAUUUCAGAUACAGUGAACCCACAUGUUGAAGCUUUCUAGUAUAAUAAAAAUUUCAACUGUUCUGUUGAAUCAUCUGCCUGAUUGGAGGCUACAGAAAAGAUGUCAUCUUAGGAGUGCUUGCUCUGAGUGAGGCUCAUCUUCAAAUCUGAAUGACCACAAGGAGAUUUGAUUAUACAUGUGAACACCUCAGAAGGCACAGCCCACCCAGAAGGCAGACAGAAGAAGCUGCCAGGAAGACUGUGAAAUCUUCAUGCCCAAGGAUCCCUAAAAUUAGGAGCAACAACCACUUGGCUCAGACGGUUUAUGGAGGCAAAGGUUUGGAUGGGAUUAGAGAUUUCUAAAUGUGAGUUCGUGUCCUCUGCCAGACCACCUUACUUCCACCAUUCCUCAGCAAAUCAAGAAAAACAGGAGAAAAGACAUGCCUUUCCAUAAGUUAAAUCUAUUCUGUUUUAAUUCUAUAUUAUAUCUGCUGUACAACUUCUUUUGUUUGUAACACCAUAUUGUUGCUAGUAACUGGAAAUUAAUUUUCACAUGCCUCAGCUUAGAAAAAUAAAAAGCAGCCCUGCAUCAAUCCCAA
rnacentral:lncRNA from 1 species